rnacentral:rRNA from 1 species
GAUGAACGCUGGCGGCGCGCCUAACACAUGCAAGUCGAACGAUAAAAGCCCCUUCGGGUGGGUAUCAAGUGGCGAACGGCUGAGUAAAACGUGUGCAACCUGCCCCCCUCAUUGGGAUAGCCACGGGAAAACCUGGAUAAUACCGCAUACUUCGGCACCUCCUCAUUGAAGACUCGAGAAAGCUCCGGCGGGGAGGGAUGGGCCCGCGGCCUGUUAGCUUGUUGGUGGGGUAAUGGCCUACCAAGGCAAUGAUGGGUAGCUGGGUUGAGAGACCGACCAGCCAGAUUGGGACUGAGACACGGCCCAGACUCCUACGGGAGGCAGCAGUGGGGAAUAUUGCACAAUGGGCGAAAGCCUGAUGCAGCGACGCCGCGUGCGGGAUGAAGGCCUUCGGGUUGUAAACCGCUUUCAGCAGGGACGAGGCGAAAGUGACGGUACCUGCAGAAGAAGCCCCGGCUAACUACGUG